AAUUACCGCUCACAUUUGCUCACUAGUUUAGGCGGUGAAUUAUUGUUUGUCUAAUUUUCAUUUGUUUCAUUUUACAUUUGCUUCAUUAUUCAUUUACAUUUAAGGUUUUCUUCAUUUACAAUUUCUUCCCCUCAGCGGCGAAAUACAAAUCUGAACCUUAUUUGGUGAACAAGGGCGGCGAAAUUCAAAGGCACCAAUGGUUGGUCAAUCAAAAGUGAAGAAUAAUGCAAAAGCUUUGGGUGGGGAAAAUGGUGAUUCCCCGGUGAAGAAGAAACAAAGGACCACUGCACUGCCUGGAAUAGUAAUUCGUGGUAGACUUGUUUUAAAAAAAUUAUUAUUUUUAGGGUUAUUGUGACUUUGAAAAUGAUAUAUUUUUUUAAUUCACUGUGUUAUAGUAAUUGUAGUUUCAUAUAUUUUUAAAAUUGGCGCACAAGUCUCAUCAUCAUAUGUAACCUUAUGGUAUGUAUGACGUUGAUAGUCCAUUGCGCUGUUGAAAUUCAUAUAUAAUAGCAAGAGAUCUGAAUUCUUGUUCAAA